rfam:Candidatus Ruthia magnifica str. Cm (Calyptogena magnifica), complete genome.
GAAGUUGGUCGGAUGGUCGCUGGAGCUUGAUUCUUCAGAGGAAAGUCCGGGCUCCAUAGAGUAAAGUGCUAGCUAACAGCUAGGUAUGGUGACAUAACGGAAAGUGCUACAGAGAUUUAGACCGCCUAUUUUUAAUAGGUAAGGGUGAGAAGGCGCGGUAAGAGCGCACCGCGCGAUUGGUGACAACCGUGGCAAGGUAAACCCCACUUGGAGCAAGCUCAAAUAGGCUGAUGAUGACGUUGCUCGCUGAGUUGGUGGGUAGAGUGCUAAAGCGUUUUGGCAACAAAACACGUAGAUGAAUGACCAUCUAUUACAGAACCCGGCUUAUAGACCGACUUCUUUU